UACGUAGGGUGCAAGCGUUAAUCGGAAUUACUGGGCGUAAAGCGUGCGCAGGCGGUUUGUAAGUCUGUCGUGAAAGCCCUCGCUUAACCGAGGAAGUGCGCCCGAAACUGCAGAGCUUGAGUACCGGAGAGGAUGGCGGAAUUCCCCAAGUAGAGGUGAAAUUCGUAGAUAUGGGGAGGAACACCGGUGGCGAAGGCGGCCAUCUGGACGGAUACGUGACGCUGAGA
rnacentral:rRNA from 1 species